rnacentral:lncRNA from 1 species
AGAAUACUGGCAGAGGGAAGCCAGAUUCAUUUCGGAUAGCUGCUCUGCUCUAUCAGCUAGAGAACAGGCUCCAUAAUUUUCAAAGAGCUUCAGACUGCUUUCAGGUGCCUUCACCACAACUGCUUUUAUUGCAGAAUAACCACGCUAGCUGAGCUGGCUUUUGCCGACAGUCGUUUGCUAUCUUUGAUCUUUACCACAGACUUUAGGAAAAUGUUUCAAAAAUUCCCUUUCAGGUAACUUUGAGACGAGAAAGAAAAACAAGGCAACCCAGGAUGAGGAGCGGAAAAGCAGAACACGGCUGGCCGAUCGUGUGCAGCGUGGGGGACAUUGAACUGAAAACGAUCCGUUUGCCACG